AGGAAAUAGCAAAGAGAUAAGUCAAAAAUCAAACCAACCUGGGGAAGAACACCAUAGCAUCCUGGAAGCUGACUCAGAAAAAAAGACAUUUUGGAGCAGGAACUUCUUUCGGCUGGCUCCCAGUAAAGCACAAUCCUGGCUCCUCUGAACUUCUCUGGCAAACUCCAGGCGGGAGUGUGCAGAAAUAUGAAUGGCUGGGCUGCUGCUGCUCUGGGCAAGCUGAGCUGCAUGGCUUUUCUCACAGCCGGGGGAAGAUCUGCUCUUUGGAAAUCCGCUUCAUGGUGGAAGGCCUUCAUCAUCCUGUGGUUCUCCAUCCGAUGUUUAUGGAUGUUCUUCCUAAGAUGUAGUGCUCAGAAACAUAAAGUCUGGAGGCAAUACGACUCUUCCUGCUGCAUAAAGUAGGUUGCCAAUUUAUCUGCUUGAGAAAGUGGCUU